CCUACGGGAGGCAGCAGUGAGGAAUAUUGGUCAAUGGACGAGAGUCUGAACCAGCCAAGUAGCGUGAAGGAUGACUGCCCUAUGGGUUGUAAACUUCUUUUAUAAAGGAAUAAAACGAGGCACGUGUGCCUUUUUGCAUGUACUUUAUGAAUAAGGAUCGGCUAACUCCGUGCCAGCAGCCGCGGUAAUACGGAGGAUCCGAGCGUUAUCCGGAUGUAUUGGGUUUAAAGGGAGCGUAGAUGGGUUGUUAAGUCAGUUGUGAAAGUGUGCGGCUCAACCGUAAAAUUGCAAUUGAUACUGGCAGUCUUGAGUACAGUUGAGGUAGGCGGAAUUCGAUGUGUAGCGGUGAAAUGCUUAGAUAUCACGAAGAACCCCGAUUGCGAAGGCAGCUUACUAAACUGUGACUGACAUUGAUGCUCGAAAGUGUGGGUAUCAAACAGGAUUAGAUACCCUUGUAGUC
rnacentral:rRNA from 1 species